rnacentral:rRNA from 1 species
UACGAAGGGGGCUAGCGUUGUUCGGAUUUACUGGGCGUAAAGCGCAGCGUAGGCGGAUCGUUAAGUCAGAGGUGAAAUCCUGGAGCUCAACUCCAGAACUGCCUUUGAUACUGAGGAUCUUGAGUACGGGAGAGGUGAGUGGAACUGCGAGUGUAGAGGUGAAAUUCGUAGAUAUUCGCAAGAACACCAGUGGCGAAGGCGGCUCACUGGCCCGUUACUGACGCUGAGGCACGGAAAGCGUGGGGAGCAAACAGGG